UUUGCACACAUAACCCAAAGUUCAUUAUUUGCCUGUGUAAUGAUCUUGUCUGAUGUGCAUACAUUAUCAGUAUCUUGUCGCCUUUCAAGAGCUCACAUGCUUUUGAAAGUGAAUAUGAAGAUACUACACAU